rnacentral:rRNA from 1 species
UACGUAGGGUGCAAGCGUUAAUCGGAAUUACUGGGCGUAAAGCGUGCGCAGGCGGUUUGGUAAGACAGAUGUGAAGUCCCCGGGCUUAACCUGGGAAUUGCAUUUGUGACUGCCCGGCUAGAGUGUGUCAGAGGGGGGUAGAAUUCCACGUGUAGCAGUGAAAUGCGUAGAGAUGUGGAGGAAUACCGAUGGCGAAGGCAGCCCCCUGGGAUAACACUGACGCUCAUGCACGAAAGCGUGGGGAGCAAACAGG